rnacentral:sRNA from 1 species
CUCAGCCACCUGAGGAACCUCCUUUGCCAGACGAGGAUGAGGAAUUAUCUAGUGAAGAAUCAGAAUAUGAAAGCACUGAUGAUGAGGACCGACAGAGAAUGAACAAAUUAAUGGAACUAGCAAAUCUUCAGCCCAAAAGACCUAAAACAAUAAAGCAGCGCCAUGUGAGAAAAAAGAGAAAAAUAAAGGAUAUGUUGAAUACACCUUUGUGUCCUUCACACAGUUUACAUCCAGUGCUGUUACCUUCAGAUGUAUUUGACCAACCACAACCUGUAGGUAAUAAAAGAAUUGAAUUCCAUAUAUCUACCGACAUGCCAGCUGCAUUUAAGAAAGAUUUAGAAAAGGAACAAAAUUGUGAGGAAAAAAAUCAUGAUUUACCUGCUACUGAAGUUGAUGCAUCCAAUAUAGGAUUUGGAAAAAUCUUCCCCAAACCUAAUUUGGACAUCACAGAGGAGAUUAAAGAAGACUCUGAUGAAAUGCCUUCAGAAUGUAUUUCUAGAAGGGAAUUGGAAAAGGGCAGAAUUUCUAGAGAAGGUAAUGUCACGAAAUAAACUAAGCACAUAUUCCAUUUUAUAUAUCUUUGACUCUAUAGAAACAAAACAAAUCUGUCAUGCCAUUUACCUUAAUUUAAGGCACAUACUUUAAAACAUCUCUCCGAUUAAUGUUUGUAAUCACUUCUUCUGUUUUUUUUAAAUACUCAUACUUUAUAGUGAAGGGAACGUUCCUUUCCAUACAGUGUUUCCAGUCUAUAUUUAGGAAAAAAUUUUGUUUUCAUUCCUAAAACUUUCAUGUGGCAUUUAAAAUAAGUCAGUGUGUCCCACAAGUCUGGAGUUAUAUUUUCCAAAUGCAGCUGAUAGACUGUCACAAAUACUGUGUCUGAGAUACAUACAAAGCGAUUUAAAAAAAAAUGGUGAUUAGAAAUACAUGAUUUUAGGAUUUAAUAUCCUAACAUGAUAAUUUUCUACUUCUCAAAGACUUUUACUGUUUUGGUACAUUGUCAGAAAAUAUUUAGAGGCUUUAGAUUGAUGUGUAGCACAUAAUUUUUCCUACGGUAAUGGGAAAUAGACUUCUAGCUAGGAUUUUUACACAAAACAUCUAUCCGAUUUUCUAGAACAGAUUACUGACAUUAAAUGAGAGGAGCUAUACAAGGGUUCUUAGGCCAUGGUUUGUCUGAGAUGCCUGAUACUGUGUUUACUUCAUUCUUGCAUUUAAAUAUGGAGGUGGCUGAUGGUUUGGGAAAUUCACUUUAAGCAAAAUAACUACCCAAAUCAAUUAACAUAUAUACUUUGCUCUUUUUUAUAACAUGACUCAUCUUAACGGACCUUUAAUAGUAGAUAUUUUAUUGGACAAAUUGUAGUUACUCUAGAAGUCUGAAAUUUUUAAAACAAAAGUUAUAUAUAUAUAUAAAGUUUUUUAUAUAAUCAAUUCAGAUUUUCAGUGAGUAUAUUUAAACCCAUUUGUAAUAUUGUUACUAAUUUUGUUACUAAUUUUAUGUAAUAUUGUUACUAAUUAGUUCAUAUGAAAAUGAACUAAUUUUCAUUUUAUGUUAAAGUGAAAAUUUUAACAUUUUCAUAAAGCUUAUUUUGUCUAUUUAACAAUUAGGUUUCAAAAUUGUAAUUAUCUUUAAAAACUUGCUUAAAAUAUUUUAAUUUUAUAUCUUUGUUUUUUGUUUUUUAAUAAGAAAUGGAAACACUUUCAGUUUUCAGAAGUUAUGAACCGGGUGAACCAAACUGUAGAAUUUAUGUAAAGAAUUUAGCUAAACAUGUUCAAGAAAAGGUAGGUAUAAAUUGAUUUUUUUUCAUGUAAAUGAAAAUAAUUUGAAGGUUUUAUAGUUGAUGUGUUAAAGUCUGUUUGAAACUACCUUUAAGAAUGUGGUUUUCUUACUGUGCUUCAGGGCAUGACAAAUUAUUGUUUAGUAUUUUCAGGUUAAUUUUUUAUUAAAAUAAUACUCUCAUAGCUUGGGUUCUCUGGCAGUAAAUACUGAGACAGAGUUUGGGGUAUGUAUUAAUUUCCUAGGGCUAAGUGGCUGAAACAACAGAGAUGUGUUGUCUCACAGUUCUGGAGGCAAACUGAAGUCAAAAGUGUGGCAGGAUUGGUUCAUUCUGAGGGCUUUGAGUGAAGGAUCUGUUCUGUGCCUCUCCCAUAGCUUCUGCUGGUAUGCAGAAGCUGGCAAACUUUCACCUUCCUUGGCUUGUGGAAGCAUCACCGCAAUUUCUGCCUUUGUACAUAGCAUACUCCCUUUGUGAGUAUCUGUCCAAAUUUCCCCUUUUGAAAGGCCACCAGUCAUAUUACAUUAAAGCCUACCUUAGUCCAGUAUGACCUCUUCUACUGAUGCAUUGAUGUAUUUAUUUAUUUAUUAACAGUUUUUUUCCCCUGGCUUUGUUAUUUGUCUUUUUCUUAUUGAAAUCCUAGGACCUUAAAUAUAUUUUUGGAAGAUAUGUUGACUUUUCAUCAGAAACACAGCGGAUCAUGUUUGAUAUACGUUUGAUGAAAGAAGGUCGUAUGAAAGGACAAGCUUUCAUUGGACUUCCUAAUGAAAAAGCAGCAGCAAAAGCCUUAAAGGAAGCUAAUGGAUAUGUGCUUUUUGGAAAACCCAUGGUGGUUCAGUUUGCUCGAUCUGCUAGACCAAAACAAGAUCCUAAGGAAGGAAAAAGAAAGUGUUAAAAAUUAAUAAAGGUAAGUGUGAAUAAAACAUAAUAAAAAGACAAGACUAAUUAUUGAGAUAAAAUUAAGAAUAAAAGUUUGACAAGGUAGUAAUUCAGGUAUCUCUCUUUUUUUUUUUUUUUUUAAGGAAAUACCUAUCUGUGCAGUUAAGUCCCAUUAAACGUCAAAACUAUAACUACAGAUUAAAACCCAUUUAUAUGUGAAAAUUAAGUUUGGAGAAUGAAUCUUAUAAGGGGAGUGUGCCUGUUAACUCUUUUUUUAACUUUUUCUGCCUAUAGUAAAGCAAUGGUUCUUAAACCCUAAUAUGUAUCAUAUCACUUGGAGAGCCUAAUAAAACACAGAUUCGUAGGUUCCUUCCUUCCCUGAAAGAGUUGAUUUGGUAGGUCUGAUGUGGGGACCUAGGGAAACUGUUUAUACCAGUUUUCCUUUUAAUGAGGGGAUUUCCAGGAUGCCGGACAUUUAGUGCUGAAAUGGGGAAUGUGUCUGGUAAGCCAAGACAGGUUGGUCACCCUUGUUGGCACCUGAAAAUUUGCGAGAUUAAUGAGGUUUCAGAUAAUGAUGAGGCAUCUUAUCCAGAGACCACAACUUGAAAACUCCUGGGAUAAACACUUACAGAUACAUUUUCUAACUCUUAAAAUUAACCUAAAGUAAAUGUUAAAAUAAAAGUUAAAAAAAAAAAGUCAAACUAUCAUUAAAAAUAAUUCUGGCUGAGCACGGUGGCUCACCCCUGUAAUCUCAGCAAUUUGGGAAGUGGAGGUGGGCGGAUCACAAGGUCCAGAGAUCAAGACCAUCCUGGCCAACAUGGUGAAACCGACUGUCUACUAAAAAUACAAAAAUUAGCUGGGUGUGGUGGCGCAUACCUGUAGUCCCAGCUACGUGGGUGGCUGAGGCAGGAGAAUCACCUGAACCUGCGAGGUGGAGGUUGCAGUGAGCCGAGAUCAAGAUCACGCCACUGCACUCCACACUGGCAACAGAGCAAGACUCCAUCUCAAAAAAAAAAAAAAA